rnacentral:rRNA from 1 species
UACGUAGGGUGCGAGCGUUAAUCGGAAUUACUGGGCGUAAAGCGUGCGCAGGCGGUUCGUUGUGUCGGCGGUGAAAGCCCCGGGCUUAACCUGGGAAUGGCCGUUGAAACUGGCGAACUGGAGUGUGGCAGAGGGGGGUAGAAUUCCACGUGUAGCAGUGAAAUGCGUAGAUAUGUGGAGGAACACCGAUGGCGAAGGCAGCCCCCUGGGUCAAGACUGACGCUCAUGCACGAAAGCGUGGGGAGCAAACAGG